GAUGAACGCUGGCGGCGUGCCUAAUACAUGCAAGUCGAGCGAACGGACGAGAAGCUUGCUUCUCUGACGUUAGCGGCGGACGGGUGAGUAACACGUGGAUAACCUACCUAUAAGACUGGGAUAACUUCGGGAAACCGGAGCUAAUACCGGAUAAUAUUUUGAACCGCAUGGUUCAAAAGUGAAAGACGGUCUUGCUGUCACUUAUAGAUGGAUCCGCGCUGCAUUAGCUAGUUGGUAAGGUAACGGCUUACCAAGGCAACGAUGCAUAGCCGACCUGAGAGGGUGAUCGGCCACACUGGAACUGAGACACGGUCCAGACUCCUACGGGAGGCAGCAGUAGGGAAUCUUCCGCAAUGGGCGAAAGCCUGACGGAGCAACGCCGCGUGAGUGAUGAAGGUCUUCGGAUCGUAAAACUCUGUUAUUAGGGAAGAACAUACGUGUAAGUAACUGUGCACAUCUUGACGGUACCUAAUCAGAAAGCCACGGCUAACUACGUG
rnacentral:rRNA from 1 species